rnacentral:lncRNA from 1 species
UAACUGAAACGUUAAAAAUGUGUUUAACCAGUAAGAGGUUCAGAAGCAGUGAAUACAAACUGCAUUCAAACAGGCCUGGACGGCCAGCUGGCCUGAACUCUUCUAGGAGUCACAGCAGGCGAUUAGUCGGGACCAGAACAUAUCUUGUUAACUAGGUAAGGCUGACCCCUCCUCGGUCAGUCUAGGCUGUUACUAUAUGGAGUUCAGAAAUGUUUUGUGUGGACUAAAUAAACGUCUACAACAUUGCACCACAGGCAGGCCUGGGACCCACCCCAUUGUGUGCCAUUCUGCUUAUUCCCCCAAGCACUGGUUAUCAAGAUCUGGCCCAUAAGCAUCGUUAAGGGCAUCUCUUUGUCCUGUAUGGUAAUCCUGGCUACUUACGCUCUUCCUAGCUCACUUGGCUUUGUGCUCCACACUUAAAAAAUAAUCUAACCACCUCUCAGCUACUUGUAUCUAUAAGGAGUGAUUAACCAGGUAAGUUAAUCCUGAACAAAUGAACAACACAGGGUGAAGGAUUUCUCUCUUGCUGUGGUCACCCAGAAGUCUUACCUGCUUCAUAGCCUGUAGCCAGUUUAACACAAAAGCCAGAUAUGGUAGCAGUCUUGAGACCAGACUAGGCUACACGGUAAAUUUCAGAUCAGGUUGGGCUACAUGGGAAGACCUUGGCUUACAAAGGAAAAAAAAAUGGGGUGAGGGACUUAACCUGAGCAAAACUGGAAUGGCCUCAGGUAGAGCUGAAGCGCUGUAGCGUUUCUUCUCUUGCCCUCAGCCUCUGGAGGCUGCACACAUCCCAGCAGUGCUUUCCAACUGCUGAUGGCUUCGUGCAGUCUGCUUCACUAGUAGUUGAGACUUUACUUUGGAUUAAAAUAAAAUGUCCAAGGCUGGAGAGAUGGCUCAGCAGUUAAGAGCUCUGGCUGUUCUUCCAGAGGACCCAGGCUCAGUUUCCAGCAACCACAUGGCAGCUCACAACUGUUUGUAACUCCAGUUUCAGGGAUUCUGACACCCUCACAUGCAGGCAAAAGACCAAUGAGCAUAAAAUAAGAAUAAAUAAAUAAUUUUUUUAAUGAAGAAAAUGUGGGUACAGAACAUCUAGCAUUAGAGACCUGGAAGAGUAGAUUCUUACUCUAGGUAUUCAUUCCUACCACAUGCAGUUAGUUAUGUCUAAAUAUCAUAGCUUUUUCCUAUGUAAACCUUCUGUUAAGUUAGUAACACAGCCUCAGUUGUUCUUAGCCCAGUAAAGAUCUUAACUUUCUGACAUAGAAAUGGCAUUUGUACCAGAAGUACGUAUGAUCACAGUUGUAUAGAAAAUCCGAUCCAGACUUUGUUGUUGUUGUUGAUUUGAGACAGAGUUUCUCUGUGUAGUUUCUCUGUGUAGCUCUGGCCUCAAGCUCGGAGAUCACCUGCUUCUGCCUCCCUGGCUUAGGAGUAAAGGCGUGCGCCACCACCGUGCGCCCAAUCCAGGCGUUUCAGUGCCUGUUAACAGUUGAAUUCCUCUGAGAAGUAUUUGGCCUUGUGUUGUACCUUUAGUCUUGCUAUUUUUGUUUUCUUUGGUGAUUUAUUCUAUAUUCCUACAGUGAUGAUAUCUUACAUAGAAUAUUAUUAUCAACCCAGCUAAUACUUUGUUACUCUCUUCUUUAAGCCGAGUCUGUUCUACAGCUUCAUUUGACUCGCAAGCCUUCACUUGAGCCAUAGCUACAGUUCUCUUAGAGCUCAAGAGAAGCUUACAGUCUUGACUUUGGGCCAUCCACGCCACCCAGAAAGUUCACUCGAUAGCCCCUUCCCUUCACGCUGUUUCAUACAAAAUCUAGUAGUUUUGUUUUUCUGUUUUCCAUAUGGGACAGGUUAACAUCGGGGCUGUUUAUAACAAAUGAUUUUACCAUGUAUCUAAACACUGUCCCACGCUUCAGAGCACAUGCUUUACAAUGUACAGAGGCUCUCCAGAGUAGCCAUUGAGCAGCACUGCCCCAUGGUUUCAUUUAGCGUCUGUGAUAGCAUUUAUGGAAUUACCAAUAUCUUAGACUUUAAAGGGAUUGUGUAAGUCUGUCAUUCUAAAUGAAAGUUUGUCUCUCUGUGAUUUUGUACUUAAGUUUGACCAGCUCACUUUAAAACACAAAACAGCAACUCGAAGAAGGAAAAUGACAAAUGGUUUAAAUUUUGUUGUUGCAAUAGAAGAUAGGAACAGUCUUACAUUUCUCAGUGAAGAAUCCUGUGUAUCAUUACUUGUCCCAUGAUUAUUUUGUUAAAGGAAAAGGGGUCAUAUGAUGUACUAUUUCUCAAUGUUUAAAUCAUGCCAAACAAAUCAGCCCAUGCCAUCUAGCCUUUGGUGUUAAUCUUUUACUGAGUUCUUGGAUUGGGGUUAAGGGCUUGUACUAUGCACUUUUUAUUAAUGAAUAAAUAGAAAAUGUUAGUAACA